CAGCCGCCGCGGGAAUACGUAGGUGGCAAGCGUUGUCCGGAAUUAUUGGGCGUAAAGCGCGCGCAGGUGGUUUAAUAAGUCUGAUGUGAAAGCCCACGGCUCAACCGUGGAGGGUCAUUGGAAACUGUUAAACUUGAGUGCAGGAGAGAAAAGUGGAAUUCCUAGUGUAGCGGUGAAAUGCGUAGAUAUAUGGAGGAACACCGGUGGCGAAAGCGGCUCUCUGGCUUGUAACUGACGCUGAGGCUCGAAAGCGUGGGGAGCGAACAGGAUUAGAUACCCCUGUAGUCCCUGUCUCUUAUAC
rnacentral:rRNA from 1 species